rnacentral:rRNA from 1 species
ACGGGGCGCAGCAGGCGCGAAACCUUUACACUGCACGCCAGUGCGAUAAGGGGACUCCGAGUGCGAGGGCAUACAGUCCUCGCUUUUCUGCACCGUAAGGAGGUGCAGGAACAAGGGCUGGGCAAGACCGGUGCCAGCCGCCGCGGUAAUACCGGCAGCCCGAGUGAUGGCCGAUAUUAUUGGGCCUAAAGCGUCCGUAGCCGGCCGGACAAGUCCGUCGGGAAAUCCACCCGCUCAACGGGUGGGCGUCCGGCGGAAACUGUCCGGCUUGGGACCGGAAGACCCGAGGGGUACGUCCGGGGUAGGAGUGAAAUCCCGUAAUCCUGGACGGACCGCCGGUGGCGAAAGCGCCUCGGGAGGACGGAUCCGACGGUGAGGGACGAAAGCUAGGGUCUCGAACCGGAUUAGAUACCCGGGUAGUCCUAGCCGUAAACGAUGCUCGCUAGGUGUGGCGCAGGCUACGAGCCUGCGCUGUGCCGUAGGGAAGCCGUGAAGCGANCCGCCUGGGAAGUACGUCCGCAAGGAUGAAACUUAAAAGGAAUUGGCGGGGG